GUGAGGAAUAUUGCGCAAUGGAGGCAACUCUGACGCAGCCAUGCCGCGUGCAGGAAGAAGGCGCUACGCGUUGUAAACUGCUUUUAACCGGGAAGAAACCCCAGGACGUGUCCUGGGUUGACGGUACCGGAGGAAUAAGCACCGGCUAACUUCGUGCCAGCAGCCGCGGUAAUACGAAGGGUGCAAGCGUUAUCCGGAUACAUUGGGUUUAAAGGGUGCGUAGGCGGAGCGUUAAGUCAGUGGUGAAAUCCUGCAGCUUAACUGUAGACUUGCCAUUGAUACUGGCGCUCUUGAGUGCGCUUGAAGUGGGCGGAAUGUGCCGUGUAGCGGUGAAAUGCUUAGAUAUGGCACAGAACACCAAUUGCGAAGGCAGCUCACUAAGGCGAUACUGACGCUGAGGCACGAAAGCGUGGGGAUCGAACAGGAUUAGAAACCCGUGUAGUCC
rnacentral:rRNA from 1 species